AGUAAAAUGGAUUUUAUCAUACUUGGAAAACCAACAAUUGCAGUCUGGAUUCAAGCAUCACUGUUUGAUGCACCCAACUUGAGUCAAAAAGAUGCUUCAAAUCCCACUAGGCUGGAGCCAUCUGAAGAUUUGCCUGAGACUGAAGGAUUCACUUCUACGAUGGCUCCUUCAGAUGGAGCCAGAUUGAGAAAAACCAACCAACCAACCAACCAACGAACAGCAUGAUGGCUGAACCAGACAAGAGAAGUCCUGAAGAAAAAUACUUAUCAAUUACCAGAAUCUGUGCCUGCCAUACAUCAAAGGUAUUGUAUCCAUGACAGCAUGCUGCUUUUUGUGGUGUUUUGAUUGACGUCACAAUUUCUUAGCAGUCCUUCCACAGCCAUUCUGAGAUAGCAUCGAGAAAUCAAUGAAACUUCAGAAUAGGAAGUAUUUGUGUCUAUAGACUAAUGUGGCACAUUCCAUCUUGGAAAAUGUAAUCCUUAUAGGAAGAUAGAAAGAAUCUUGGUAGCAGUAUAUGCUGGGAAUAUACUCAGCGAUUUCCCAUGUAUUUUCUAGAUUUAGGAAAUCAUAAAUCAAGAG